UUUAUAUAUAUGUUUGUUAAUUGAUAUGGGUUACUAACNUGUUUAGUAUUGCCUAUACAUUCNUGCAUAUUUAGUUGUAAAAUGUUGUCGGCGUGCACUUCUCCCCUAGUAGAACGUCGCGACCCGUUGAGUGUUGGUUUACGGCCCAGGUUGGAAGAUUUCAGUAAAUUUUAUUUAUUGAAAACACUUGGUGUGUUUGUAUUUUCUAACUAACACUCGUCGGUAUUCGUAUGGUAUUGAGCCGCAUAAUAUAUAUAUUUGCGUCCAUAUCUAUCGCAAGCGCGGUUAAUUACUGAUAGUGCGGACUUAGUGCCGUCAUUAGUAUUAAUCAGCUGUUGGUUGUAUAGAAUUCUAGGACUGGUUCAUUAAAAAUAAUAAAAUACCGGUCAGCGAUGCUACUGCUUUGGGUACUUUCAGGACCCGUCUUGAAACACGGACCAAGGAGUCUAACAUGUACGCGAGUCAUUGGGAUUUUUAUUAAAUUAAACCUAAAGGCGUAAUGAAAGUAAAGAUCGUCCUUGCCCGAUUAAGGGAGGAUGGACUGUGUAUAUUAUUAUAAUUUUAUUAUAAUAAAAUAUAGUCUCGCACUCUCGGGGCGUCUCA
rnacentral:rRNA from 1 species